GUAGGUGGCAAGCGUUGUCCGGAAUUAUUGGGCGUAAAGCGCGCGCAGGCGGUUCUUUAAGUCUGAUGUGAAAGCCCACGGGCUCAACCGUGGAGGGUCAUUGGAAACUGGAGAACUUGAGUACAGAAGAGGAAAGCGGAAUUCCACGUGUAGCGGUGAAAUGCGUAGAGAUGUGGAGGAACACCAGUGGCGGAGGCGGCUUUCUGGUCUGUAACUGACGCUGAGGCGCGAAAGCGUGGGGAGCAAACAGGAUUAGAUACCCUGGUAGUCCACGCCUUAAACGAUGAGUGCUAAGUGUUAGGGGGUUUCCGCCCCUUAGUGCUGCAGCUAACGCAUUAAGCACUCCGCCUGGGGAGUACGGCCGCAAGGCUG
rnacentral:rRNA from 1 species